GUCAGUGUGUUAUAGUGGUUUGAGCAUUGGACUGUAACUCUGGAGAUCAGGGUUUAAUUCCCUGCUUGGCCA
rnacentral:tRNA from 1 species